rnacentral:rRNA from 1 species
CGGCGCACGGGUGCGUAACGCGUAUGCAAUCUACCUUUCACAGAGGGAUAGCCCAGAGAAAUUUGGAUUAAUACCUCAUAGUAUAGCAGUUUCGCAUGAAACCACUAUUAAAGUCACAACGGUGAAAGAUGAGCAUGCGUCCCAUUAGCUAGUUGGUAAGGUAACGGCUUACCAAGGCAACGAUGGGUAGGGGUCCUGAGAGGGAGAUCCCCCACACUGGUACUGAGACACGGACCAGACUCCUACGGGAGGCAGCAGUGAGGAAUAUUGGACAAUGGGCGCAAGCCUGAUCCAGCCAUGCCGCGUGCAGGAUGACGGUCCUAUGGAUUGUAAACUGCUUUUAUACGAGAAGAAACCCUCCGACGUGUCGGAGCUUGACGGUAUCGUAAGAAUAAGGAUCGGCUAACUCCGUGCCAGCAGCCGCGGUAAUACGGAGGAUCCAAGCGUUAUCCGGAAUCAUUGGGUUUAAAGGGUCCGUAGGCGGUCAGGUAAGUCAGUGGUGAAAGCCCAUCGCUCAACGGUGGAACGGCCAUUGAUAC